AUUGGUUGUGUAGCAGCACAAUCAAUCGGUGAACCUGCCACCCAAAUGACUCUCAACACCUUUCACUAUGCUGGUGUCAGUGCUAAGAAUGUUACACUUGGUGUUCCAAGGUUACGAGAAAUCAUUAAUGUGGCAAAGAGAAUCAAAACACCUUCUCUGUCUGUGUUCUUGAAACCUGAGGUUGGUAAGACCAAAGAGAGGGCCAAGAAUGUGCAGUGUGCUUUAGAAUAUACAACUCUUAGGAGUGUGACUCAGGCUACAGAGGUGUGGUAUGAUCCUGACCCAAUGGGUACAAUAAUUGAAGAGGAUGUUGACUUUGUGAAGUCCUACUAUGAAAUGCCUGAUGAAGAAGUUGCUCUUGACAAAAUCUCUCCUUGGUUGCUUCGCAUAGAACUUAAUCGUGAAAUGAUGGUGGAUAAGAAGUUGAGUAUGGCUGACAUUGCUGAAAAGAUUAACCUUGAAUUUGAUGAUGAUCUGACCUGCAUAUUUAACGAUGACAAUGCUGAAAAACUUAUUCUUCGUAUCCGUAUUAUGAAUGAUGAAGCCCCCAAAGGAGAGAUUCAGGAUGAAUCAGCUGAAGAUGACGUUUUCUUAAAGAAAAUAGAAGGCAACAUGCUGACUGAAAUGACCUUGCGAGGUAUCCCAGACAUCAACAAAGUUUUUAUAAAAAACACUAAAGUUCAGAAGUUUGAUGAGAAUGAAGGUUUUAAGCCUCAUGAUGAGUGGAUGCUUGAUACCGAAGGUGUCAACCUUUUAGCUGUAAUGUGCCAUGAUGAAGUCGAUGCAACCAGGACCACAAGCAAUCAUUUGAUUGAAGUUAUUGAAGUUCUUGGUAUCGAGGCAGUUCGCCGGGCUCUUCUGGAUGAAUUACGUGUUGUCAUUUCUUUUGAUGGUUCAUAUGUCAAUUACAGGCAUCUGGCCAUUCUUUGUGAUACCAUGACUUACCGCGGUCAUUUGAUGGCAAUUACACGUCAUGGUUUCAACAGGAAUGAUACUGGGCCAAUGAUGAGAUGCUCGUUUGAAGAGACUGUCGAUAUUCUUGUUGAUGCUGCAGUAUAUGCUGAGACUGAUUACUUGAGGGGUGUUACUGAAAAUAUUAUGUUAGGUCAGCUUGCCCCCAUUGGCACUGGAGAAUGUGCCCUGUAUCUGAAUGAUGAGAUGCUGAAGAAUGCUAUUGAGCUGCAGCUACCUAGUUACAUGGAAGGGCUUGAUUUUGGCAUGACGCCUGCUCGUUCACCAAUUUCUGGAACUCCAUAUCAUGAAGGCUUGAUGUCUCCAAGCUAUUUGCUGAGCCCAAAUCUACGGCUGUCACCUACCAAUGAUGCCCAGUUUUCUCCUUAUGUUGGUAGAAUACCAUUUUCGCCUACUUCAUCUCCCGGUUACAGUCCGUCAUCACCUGGCUAUAGUCCGUCAUCACCUGGAUACAGCCCCACAUCACCUGGAUACAGUCCCACGUCACCCGGGUACAGCCCUACCUCUCCGGCUUACAGCCCUAGCUCGCCAGGUUAUAGCCCAACAAGCCCGUCAUAUUCACCUACCAGUCCAUCGUACUCUUGAUGGGCAAAGGCUUGAUCUCAGAUAUUUAAAGAAAAGUAGCGAUCACCAUUUGGAGCUUGGAUACAAGGUAUUUUUUUUCAGACAAUGACAAUUUUUUUCUUUUAGGGUUUCUCUUUUUUUUUUUAUAAUAGCUCUUAAUGGUGUUGUUUUAGGUGGAGCGUCAUUUGAAUGAUGGGGACUUUGUUCUAUUCAAUCGCCAGCCCAGUCUUCAUAAAAUGUCUAUCAUGGGUCAUAGAAUCAAAAUCAUGCCUUAUUCUACUUUUCGUCUUAACUUGUCAGUUACUUCACCAUAUAAUGCUGAUUUUGAUGGGGAUGAAAUGAAUAUGCAUGUUCCUCAGUCAUUUGAAACCAGAGCAGAGGUGUUGGAGCUGAUGAUGGUGCCUAAAUGCAUCGUGUCACCUCAAUCAAACAGGCCUGUAAUGGGAAUUGUCCAAGAUUCGCUUUUGGGAUGCAGAAAAAUCACAAAGAGAGAUACCUUCAUCACAAAGGUUAUAUUUAGUGAAUUCUUCUCUUGUUUCAGUUUGUUUUAGUGUCAUGGUUCUUGUAAAAGCUGUUUAGAGGUCUGAUAAAAGCUAUUUUUCCAGGAUGUUUUUAUGAACAUUUUGAUGUGGUGGGAAGAUUUUGAUGGGAAAGUUCCUGCUCCUGCAAUAUUAAAGCCAGAGCCAUUGUGGACCGGGAAACAAGUUUUCAAUCUCAUCAUUCCUAAAGCAAUAAAUCUGAUUAGAUAUUCUAGCUGGCACAAUGAGAGUGAAAGGGGGUCCAUAACCCCUGGGGAUACAAUGGUCAGAAUUGAAAAAGGGGAACUACUUACUGGGACACUUUGCAAAAAGACACUUGGAGCAUCUUCUGGAAGUCUCAUUCAUGUCAUCUGGUAUCCUAAUUAGACAGAUUUCUCCUUUAAAUUACCAGCUUAAUCAUAUUGUUAAUGUUAAUUUACGUUUACAACCACUUCUAGAAGGGGGGUCAUGUUGUGUUGAUCAGAACUUUUUUCUUUGAAAUGCUUGUAAAUCCUAAUUGAUGUUGAUAACUAAUUUGAUUAUGUCAUGGAGUACUCACUACUCUCUGACUAUAGUCGUUAACUUCAUGUGACUUUGGAAUGGUUGAUCAGAACUUUAAAUCCCAAGUGAUGUUGUCAAAUAAUUUGAUUAUGUCAUGGAGUACUUUCUGACUAUAGUCGUUAACAUUGUGUGACUUUGGAAGCUGUUUCAGUUCCUUCCCUGUCCACUCACCCUACUGAAUGUCUGUUCGAAUACAGGGAAGAGGUUGGACCGGAUGCAGCUCGUAAAUUUCUAGGUCAUACUCAGUGGCUUGUGAACUAUUGGCUUUUGCAGCAGGCGUUUAGCAUGGGAAUUGGUGAUACAAUUGCUGAUGCGUCAACUAUGGAGGUUAUUAAUCAGACUAUUUCACAAGCUAAGGAGAAAGUGAAGCAACUCAUCAGGGAUGCUCAAGAAAAGAAGUUGGAGGCUGAACCGGGUCGGACUAUGAUGGAUUCAUUUGAAAAUAGAGUGAACCAGGUGCUUACAUUAGGUUGUUUGUGUCAGUGCUAUUUAUAGGCUUUUGCUUUUUACUGGAUCUGAUGUAUUUUUCAUUUGAUAAUUUCAGACAUUGAAUAGAGCUCGUGACGAUGCCGGAAAUAGUGCACAGAAAAGUUUAUCUGAGAGCAAUAAUCUAAAAGCAAUGGUUACAGCCGGUUCCAAAGGAAGUUUUAUCAACAUUUCUCAGAUGACGGCUUGUGUGGGCCAACAAAAUGUCGAGGGUAAGCGAAUUCCAUAUGGGUUCGUAGAUCGGACGUUGCCCCACUUUACAAAAGAUGAUUAUGGGCCUGAAAGUCGUGGCUUUGUGGAGAACUCGUAUCUCCGAGGACUGACCCCACAAGAGUUCUUUUUCCAUGCCAUGGGUGGUAGGGAAGGUCUUAUUGAUACUGCAGUGAAGACUUCUGAAACUGGGUACAUUCAGAGGCGACUUGUGAAGGCUAUGGAGGAUAUCAUGUGUAAAUAUGAUGGGACAGUUAGGAACUCUUUGGGAGAUGUUAUACAAUUUCUAUAUGGCGAAGACGGAAUGGAUGCAGUUUGGAUAGAAACACAGAAGCUGGAUUCCCUAAAAAUGAAGAAAACAGAAUUUGAUAGGGUUUUUCGGCACAACUUUGAUGAUGAAAACUGGAAACCUAAUUACAUGCUUGAAGAGUCUGUAGAAGAUUUGAAAAGCUUCAAAGAGUUUCGUAGUGUGUUUGAGGCGGAACUCCACAAGCUUGAAACUGACAGAUUUCAACUUGCAACAGAGAUAGCCACUACUGGUGACAGUUCUCUGCCACUACCUGUUAACCUUAAGAGGCUUAUCUGGAAUGCUCAAAAGACCUUCAAGGUUGACUUCCGGAGGACUUCUGAUAUUCAUCCUAUGGAAAUUGUGGACGCGAUUGAUAAGCUCCAGGAGAGACUUAAGGUUGUUCCUGGUGAUGAUCUUUUGAGUCAAGAAGCUCAGAAAAAUGCAACUCUUCUGUUCAAUAUUCUGCUUCGUAGCACUUUUGCCAGUAAAAGGGUCCUGGAGGAAUACAGGCUUUCUCGUGAGGCAUUUGAAUGGGUUGUGGGAGAAAUAGAAUCAAGGUUCCUGCAAUCACAGGUAGCCUCUGGGGAGAUGAUUGGUUGUGUAGCAGCACAAUCAAUCGGUGAACCUGCCACCCAAAUGACUCUCAACACCUUUCACUAUGCUGGUGUCAGUGCUAAGAAUGUUACACUUGGUGUUCCAAGGUUACGAGAAAUCAUUAAUGUGGCAAAGAGAAUCAAAACACCUUCUCUGUCUGUGUUCUUGAAACCUGAGGUUGGUAAGACCAAAGAGAGGGCCAAGAAUGUGCAGUGUGCUUUAGAAUAUACAACUCUUAGGAGUGUGACUCAGGCUACAGAGGUGUGGUAUGAUCCUGACCCAAUGGGUACAAUAAUU
rnacentral:lncRNA from 1 species